rnacentral:lncRNA from 10 species
GACCGUGCUUGAUAUUAUUGAGAAAGAGAAAUGUAAUCCUUCUACAGGGAAAAGUAGAAAAUAGUUUUAAACAGUAAUACAGUCUACUAGUGUACCUUUUCAAUCAUUGAUAUUCGCCCUUAUUUUUCUCCCUCAUUCAGAACAUGUCUAUCACUAUUUUGGCUGACAGAGUAGCUUCGAUAUAGAACAUUUCUCAUCUCGUAGAAGAAGAAUGAGUACCACAUAUUGAUUCUACAAAGCUCUUCCAGGAAAUUUCACUCAGAUUUUAUUGGCCAGAGCAGGUUACAAGAGCAUGCCUAACAACAGAUUUCCUGCCAAGGAAAGAGAUAUUCACCCAUUGUAAACCAUUAAAUGAAUUCUCUACUACGAGUGAGCACCUUGAGAGCUGGACAAGACAAGAACAAACAGUUUGAGUGACAUGCACCUGCCCCACAGAAAGACGGAGUGUCAAGAAGACUAGUGCCUGCAUUUGCUCAGCUUCUGCAGAAGACUCAAGAAGCUUACAAUUAUGGCAGAAGGUGAAGGUCGAACAGCCAUAUCACAUGGACAGAGAAGGAGUAACAGGAGACAGAGGUGUGCCACACACUUGUAAACAGCUAGAUCUUGCAAGCACUAUCACAAGGACAGCACCAAGCACUCAUGAGAAAUCCACCCCCACAUGAUCCAAUCACCUCCCAGCAGUUUCCACCUCCAAUACUGGGAAUGACCACUCAACAUAGGAUUUGGGCAAAUAUACAAAUUGCAUCAAUAUUUCUCACUGUACAGCAAUCCUUUUGCCUUGGUUUUCUAUAUCAAACCCAUCAACAUUUAAUGAUUUAUGAAUAAAGCACUGAUAGCUACUGGGAACAUCUAGAACUCAUGUGCUCUAUCUCUAUUCCAUGGAAUAUCACCCUCUGCUAUACUGGCUUAAAUAAAUAUUUCACAUUAGCAGACAUAAAUUCAGUUUGUCAGAUCAUGUUCAGCCCAGACAUCAUUUCCCUUUCUUUUAUUUCCUAAAUCGUUAAGGUCUAAAGUCAAAGCUGUUAUAUGUUCCCAAAGUAGUAUAAAAUAUGUAUGAAGCAUUUAAGACAUUCCAAACGUUUCUCUUUAUGGUUUGGGACCAAUGUAUCCAUUAAUUUGCUCUUUGGUCUGAGCUUUUGCCAUAAAAGUCUUAGGCCAGGUAAACAUCAAUGUUUUCCAUUUUUCUUCAAUUUAUUUAUUUUUAUUAUUUUUUUUUUUAGCAAACAGUGACUGCUGGAAGCCCCUAGAAAUGAAUGCCAACCUAGUUUACAAAAGACAGUGAUGAUGUCAGUCAAUAUGCAGAAUUGUUCAACUUCCUUUAUCUUUGCAGAGCCACCUAGUGUAACUGAAAUGGUUAACCUGAAUAGGCCUUUAAUUGGAUUGAGCUAUUGUGGAUCCUAGAGCUAGCAAUGCAGACUGAAAAUAGUGUGUUCUUUGUCUUCACCAAGAUAAAGUGUGCUUCAAAGGCAAAAAUGAAGUUGCUUGAAGUCAGUUAUUAGCUCAGCCAGAUUCAUUUUCAAUAGCAUGUCUCAGUGUGUUGCUUGUCUUCUCAAAGGUGGUCCUUUCUGGCCAUUAAGAAAAAGCAGUGAAGCAACCCUCCUGUCUUCCACACAGGUUAAUUGUUAAAUGUAACCAAGGAGACUGUAAAAGGCUUCUAAAUGGGAGAAAAAAACUCAGCCUGAAUGCCUCGGAUUAAUCCUUGAUGUCCCAGUUUUCUCACCUAUAAAUUGGAGAACCUAAUUUCUGUUGGAACCACUGCAUUGUGGUUGCUGUGAGAAUUAAAUGGUAUAAUGUCUGUGAGAGUGCUUUGCAAAGUGGAACUCCCUCUAUAAAUGUAUGGAUUAUUAUACUGUUUACCCUCCAUAAAUGUAUGGAUUAUUAUACUGUUCACUGUCAUUUUUUAAAACAAAUCUUCCAAAUAUCUUCACACCUCGAAGAAAGAUUUGAAAGAGUUCCC